AUUGAACGCUGGCGGCAGGCCUAACACAUGCAAGUCGAACGGUAACAGGAAGCAGCUUGCUGCUUCGCUGACGAGUGGCGGACGGAUGAGUAAUGUCUGGGAAGCUGCCUGAUGGAGGGGGAUAACUACUGGAAACGGUAGCUAAUACCGCAUAAUGUCGCAAGACCAAAGAGGGGGACCUUCGGGCCUCUUGCCAUCGGAUGUGCCCAGAUGGGAUUAGCUUGUUGGUGGGGUAACGGCUCACCAAGGCGACGAUCCCUAGCUGGUCUGAGAGGAUGACCAGCCACACUGGAACUGAGACACGGUCCAGACUCCUACGGGAGGCAGCAGUGGGGAAUAUUGCACAAUGGGCGCAAGCCUGAUGCAGCCAUGCCGCGUGUAUGAAGAAGGCCUUCGGGUUGUAAAGUACUUUCGGCGGGGAGGAAGGGAGUAAAGUUAAUACCUUUGCUCAUUGACGUUACCCGCAGAAGAAGCACCGGCUAACUCCGUG
rnacentral:rRNA from 1 species